rnacentral:lncRNA from 1 species
AGCAGUUUCUCUGACUUUCAGCGAAGGAACUCAUACCCUUCCUGGAACAUUGGAUCGUGAAACUAAGACCGUUCUUACAACUGUGUAUGAGGAAACAACCAUUCCUGCAACCUUAGGUCAAGAAACUCCUACCUUUCCUGCAACCUUGGGUGAAGAAACUUGUAGCACUCCCUCAACCUCAAGCGAAGCAAAUCGAAGCAUUCCCACUAACCUGGCCGAAGAAACUCGUGCCAAUCCAGUGACCUCGGCCGAGGAAACCCCCAGUACUCCGGAAACCUUGGGUGAAGAAAGUCCAUCUGUUCCUCUGUCUUUCAGUGAAACUCCUGCCAUUCUUCCAUCAUUCAGCAAAGAAACUCCUACAAUUCCUCAUCUUUUCAGUGAGGGAACUCCUACUGUUCCUGUAACAUCGGGUCCGGAAACUCAGACCAUUUCUACAACCAUGGGUGAGGAAACUACAACCAUUCCUGCAAACUUGGGUGAGGAAACAACUGCUACUGAAACCUUGCAUGAGGAAACUCUCGCUGUUCCUACAACUUUGGCUGAGGACAAUCCAACUAUUAUUGCAAAAUUGGAUGAGGAAACUCCAAUGAAUCCUAAAACUUUGGAUGAGGAAACUAAAACGAGUUCCACAAACUCAGCUGAGGAAACUUCGACUACUCCCACAACCUCAGGUGUGGAAACUCCUACCAUUCCUGGAAUGUUGGGUAGGGAAACUCUGACCAUUCCUACUAUUGUGUGUGAGGAAACAACCAUUCCUGCAACCUUAGGUCAAGAAACUCCUACCCUUCCUGCAACCUUGGGUGAAGGAACUCAUAGUAUUCCCUCAACCUCGAGUGAAGAAAAUCAUAUCAUUCCCACUAACCUGGAUGAAGAAACUCCUACUGAUCCAGUGACCUUGGCAGAGGAAAGGCCAAGUAUUCCUGAAACCUUGGGUGAAGAAA